rnacentral:rRNA from 1 species
AAUAGAUACCCAGGUAGUCCACGCCGUAAACGAUGAGUGCUAAGUGUUAGAGGGUUUCCGCCCUUUAGUGCUGCAGCUAACGCAUUAAGCACUCCGCCUGGGGAGUACGGUCGCAAGACUGAAACUCAAAGGAAUUGACGGGGGCCCGCACAAGCGGUGGAGCAUGUGGUUUAAUUCGAAGCAACGCGAAGAACCUUACCAGGUCUUGACAUCCCACUGACCGGUAUAGAGAUAUACCUUUCCCUUCGGGGACAGUGGUGACAGGUGGUGCAUGGUUGUCGUCAGCUCGUGUCGUGAGAUGUUGGGUUAAGUCCCGCAACGAGCGCAACCCUUAAUCUUAGUUGCCAGCAUUUAGUUGGGCACUCUAAGGUGACUGCCGGUGACAAACCGGAGGAAGGUGGGGAUGACGUCAAAUCAUCAUGCCCCUUAUGACCUGGGCUACACACGUGCUACAAUGGAUGGUACAAAGGGCUGCAAGACUGCGAAGUCAAGCCAAUCCCAUAAACCAUUCUCAGUUCGGAUUGCAGG